rnacentral:lncRNA from 1 species
AGCUGAGGUGUAGGUCGCGGAUGCUACUUGCAUCCCCUGUUGCUGUGGCUGUGGUGUAGUCUGGCAGCUACAGCUCCGAUUAGACCCCUCGCCUAGGAACCUCCAUAUGCAGCAAGUGUGGCCCUAAAAAGACCAAAAAAAAGGAACCAUGCCGCACGAUGUGAACUGUGGCACAUGGGCCACAGCUAAUUGGACCAGGGGUGAGCACCUGAUCCAAGAGCUGCCUCCCUAUUGGUUGGGCCAACUAUCCUAUGAGAUAGCUUAGCUCAAGAGCUUGUGCUGUAUGAACCAAUCAAAUUCCUCUGCUUAGGGAGUUUGGCUGGAAUGGAGUGGGAGCUGGGAGUCUGUCAGAGAAGCAGAAUGACACAGAAAGAAAACCAAGGACAGAGAGAGAAAUUGGUCCUUCAGUGGUGGCAGAGCGGAGUCGGACCCAUGAGCACCUACUGGGGUGACUACUUGAUCAAUAUCCGCCCCAGGGUUUGGGAGCCUCUGUCUACAGCCCCUCACCUGGUGAGCACAGCUCAGGUUGCUCACCCUGGUCCCAAGAAUUGCUUGAGACAGAAGCCACAACUGUGGUAUUCAUCAUUUUUUGUCAAUCAACAAGCACUGGUGGAGCUUCUUGUAGGAGCUGGACAGCCGGCAGUGGAUAUAAGGUGA